GAACGGCAGCCAGGUAGCAAUACGGGUGGCGAGUGGCGGACGGGUGAGGAAUACAUCGGGACCUGCCCAGACGUGGGGGAUAACGUAGGGAAACUUACGCUAAUACCGCAUACGUCCUACGGGUAGAAAGCGGGGGAUCGCAAGACCUCGCGCGGUUGGAUGGACCGAUGUUCGAUUAGCUAGUUGGUAGGGUAAUGGCCUACCAAGGCGACGAUCGAUAGCUGGUCUGAGAGGAUGAUCAGCCACACUGGGACUGAGACACGGCCCAGACUCCUACGGGAGGCAGCAGUGGGGAAUAUUGGACAAUGGGCGCAAGCCUGAUCCAGCAAUGCCGCGUGUGUGAAGAAGGCCUUCGGGUUGUAAAGCACUUUUAUCAGGAGCGAAAUACUACCGGCUAAUACCCGGUGGGGCUGACGGUACCUGAGGAAUAAGCACCGGCUAACUUCGUGCCAGCAGCCGCGGUAAU
rnacentral:rRNA from 1 species